CUCGUAGGUGGUUUUGUAAGUUGGAUAUUAAAGCUCCCGGCUCAACUGGGAAAAAGUAUCCAAAACUGCAUAACUUGAGGUAUACAGGGGAAGAUGGAACUCACGGUGUAGCAGUGAAAUGCGUAGAUAUCGUGAGGAACGCCAAUGGUGAAGACAGUCUUCUGGGUAUAUCCUGACACUGAGGAGCGAAAGCGUGGGGAGCGAACG
rnacentral:rRNA from 1 species